GACGAACGCUGGCGGCGUGCUUAACACAUGCAAGUCGAACGGAAAGGCCCUGCUUUUGCGGGGUGCUCGAGUGGCGAACGGGUGAGUAACACGUGAGUAACCUGCCCUUGACUUUGGGAUAACUUCAGGAAACUGGGGCUAAUACCGGAUAGGAGCUCCUGCUGCAUGGUGGGGGUUGGAAAGUUUCGGCGGUUGGGGAUGGACUCGCGGCUUAUCAGCUUGUUGGUGGGGUAGUGGCUUACCAAGGCUUUGACGGGUAGCCGGCCUGAGAGGGUGACCGGCCACAUUGGGACUGAGAUACGGCCCAGACUCCUACGGGAGGCAGCAGUGGGGAAUAUUGCACAAUGGGCGGAAGCCUGAUGCAGCAACGCCGCGUGCGGGAUGACGGCCUUCGGGUUGUAAACCGCUUUCGCCUGUGACGAAGCGUGAGUGACGGUAAUGGGUAAAGAAGCACCGGCUAACUACGUGCCAGCAGCCGCGGUGAUACGUAGGGUGCGAGCGUUGUCCGGAUUUAUUGGGCGUAAAGGGCUCGUAGGUGGUUGAUCGCGUCGGAAGUGUAAUCUUGGGGCUUAACCCUGAGCGUGCUUUCGAUACGGGUUGACUUGAGGAAGGUAGGGGAGAAUGGAAUUCCUGGUGGAGCGGUGGAAUGCGCAGAUAUCAGGAGGAACACCAGUGGCGAAGGCGGUUCUCUGGGCCUUUCCUGACGCAGAGGAGCGAAAGCGUGGGGAGCGAACAGGCUUAGAUACCCUGGUAGUCCACGCUGUAAACGGUGGGUACUAGGUGUGGGGUCCAUUCCACGGGUUCCGUGCCGUAGCUAACGCUUUAAGUACCCCGCCUGGGGAGUACGGCCGCAAGGCUAAAACUCAAAGGAAUUGACGGGGCCCCGCACAAGCGGCGGAGCAUGCGGAUUAAUUCGAUGCAACGCGUAGAACCUUACCUGGGUUUGACAUGGAUCGGGAGCGCCCAGAGAUGGGUGUGCCUCUUUUGGGGUCGGUUCACAGGUGGUGCAUGGCUGUCGUCAGCUCGUGUCGUGAGAUGUUGGGUUAAGUCCCGCAACGAGCGCAACCCUUGUUCACUGUUGCCAGCACGUUAUGGUGGGGACUCAGUGGAGACCGCCGGGGUCAACUCGGAGGAAGGUGGGGAUGACGUCAAGUCAUCAUGCCCCUUAUGUCCAGGGCUUCACGCAUGCUACAAUGGCUGGUACAGAGAGUGGCGAGCCUGUGAGGGUGAGCGAAUCUCGGAAAGCCGGUCUCAGUUCGGAUUGGGGUCUGCAACUCGACCUCAUGAAGUCGGAGUCGCUAGUAAUCGCAGAUCAGCAACGCUGCGGUGAAUACAUUCCCGGG
rnacentral:rRNA from 1 species